CGUACACUCCUGCGGGAGGCAGCAGUGAGGAAUAUUAGACAAUGGGUGGAAGCCUGAUCCAGCCAUCCCGCGUGCAGGAAGACGGCCCUAUGGGUUGUAAACUGCUUUUAUCUGGGGAUAAACCUACUUACGUGUAAGUAGCUGAAGGUACCAGAAGAAUAAGCACCGGCUAACUCCGUGCCAGCAGCCGCGGUAAUACGGAGGGUGCAAGCGUUAUCCGGAUUUAUUGGGUUUAAAGGGUCCGUAGGCGGACUGAUAAGUCAGUGGUGAAAUCCGACAGCUUAACUGUCGAACUGCCAUUGAUACUGUUAGUCUUGAGUAAGGUUGAAGUGGCUGGAAUAAGUAGUGUAGCGGUGAAAUGCAUAGAUAUUACUUAGAACACCAAUUGCGAAGGCAGGUCACUAAGUCUUAACUGACGCUGAUGGACGAAAGCGUGGGGAGCGAACAGGAUUAGAAACCCGGGUAGUCCCA
rnacentral:rRNA from 1 species